GUGUCAGCUACUAAUUGCCACCUCACAGACCCCUGCUCUCCGGCCUGGCUGGCCCCAUCCCACUGCCUUGCUGGAGAAAGCCCAUGAGGCCAAGGGAAUGGUACCGUUUCCCAUUCUGUGGGGCUGGGUGCUCAUGGCUACCGUGAGAACAGAUGCCUCAGCAAGCCUGGUGGAGCAAAGGCCCAGAUGGGCCCUGGUACUUCAUGGACAAGCUAAAACCCUGCACUGCAUCCUGAGGGAUUCCCAGUACCCCUGGAUGAGCUGGUACCAACAAGAUCUCCAGGGCCAACUGCAGCUGCUGGCCACCCUGCGGAGUCCUGAGGAUAAGGAGGUUGUAUCCCAUCCCGGAGCACAUUACCAGGUGACGCGGGUCGAUAACACGGAGCUGAGGCUGCAUGUCGCCAACGUGACCCAGAGCAGAGCCCUGUACUGCACCUGCAGCAAAGACACAGUGAGACACCCUCCUUGGACGAAUGAAUAAAAACCAUCCCAGAUUGGCAA